rnacentral:tRNA from 1 species
GACCGCGUGGCUCAGUUGGAAGAGCAUUGGGCUAGUAUUCCAAAGGUCGUAGGUUCGAAUCCCGCCGUGGCCA